rnacentral:rRNA from 1 species
AGAACGAACGCUGGCGGCAUGCCUAAUACAUGCAAGUCGAACGAACACUUCGGUGUUAGUGGCGCACGGGUGCGUAACGCGUGGGAAUCUGCCCUUGGGUUCGGAAUAACAGUUGGAAACGACUGCUAAUACCGGAUGAUAUCGAAAGAUCAAAGAUUUAUCGCCCAGGGAUGAGCCCGCGUAGGAUUAGCUAGUUGGUGAGGUAAAGGCUCACCAAGGCGACGAUCCUUAGCUGGUCUGAGAGGAUGAUCAGCCACACUGGGACUGAGACACCGGCCCAGACUCCUACGGGAGGCAGCAGUAGGGAAUAUUGGACAAGUGGGCGC